AAAGCUGCUAGGUUCGGCGCUGCCGUUUGGUGAUGGGAAACCGGUGUGAUGCCGGUGCUGCCCCCGCAACUGUAACGGGUUGGGUGAUCCGGGUGAUGUGAUGUCACAAGCCACCGGUAAUGUUGAUUUGCAGACAACAUGCCGGGAAGGCGGAUUGCUUUCAUGCCCGCAGCCAGAAAACCAGCCAUCGGUAUCCCUGUUCG
rnacentral:ncRNA from 2 species